rnacentral:rRNA from 1 species
GACGAACGCUGGCGGCGUGCUUAACACAUGCAAGUCGAACGGAAAGGCCCUGCUUUUGUGGGGUGCUCGAGUGGCGAACGGGUGAGUAACACGUGAGUAACCUGCCCUUGACUUUGGGAUAACUUCAGGAAACUGGGGCUAAUACCGGAUAGGAGCUCCUGCUGCAUGGUGGGGGUUGGAAAGUUUCGGCGGUUGGGGAUGGACUCGCGGCUUAUCAGCUUGUUGGUGGGGUAGUGGCUUACCAAGGCUUUGACGGGUAGCCGGCCUGAGAGGGUGACCGGCGACAUUGGGACUAAGAGACGGCCCAGACUCCUACGGGAGGCAGCAGUGGGGAAUAUUGCACAAUGGGCGGAAGCCUGAUGCAGCAACGCCGCGUGCGGGAUGACGGCCAUCGGGUUGUAAACCGCUUUCGCCUGUGACGAAGCGUGAGUGACGGUAAUGGGUAAAGAAGCACCGGCUAACUACGUG